GGCCCCGUCGUCUAGCCCGGUCUAGGACGCCUCCCUUUCACGGAGGAAACACGGGUUCGAAUCCCGUCGGGGCUA
rnacentral:tRNA from 1 species